rnacentral:rRNA from 1 species
GAGUAACACGUAUGCAAUCCACCUGUAACAGGGGGAUACCCGGGAGAAAUCCGGACUAAUACCCCAUAAUAUGGGCGCUCCGCAUGGAGGGCUCAUUAAAGAAAGCAAUUUUGGUUACAGACGAGCAUGCGCUCCAUUAGCCAGUUGGCGGGGUAACGGCCCACCAAAGCGACGAUGGAUAGGGGUUCUGAGAGGAAGGUCCCCCACAUUGGAACUGAGACACGGUCCAAACUCCUACGGGAGGCAGCAGUGAGGAAUAUUGGUCAAUGGUCGGCAGACUGAACCAGCCAAGUCGCGUGAGGGAAGACGGCCCUACGGGUUGUAAACCUCUUUUGUCGGAGAGUAAAGUGCGCUACGCGUAGCGUAUUGCAAGUAUCCGAAGAAAAAGCAUCGGCUAACUCCGUGCCAGCAGCCGCGGUAAUACGGAGGAUGCAAGCGUUAUCCGGAUUUAUUGGGUUUAAAGGGUGCGUAGGCGGCACGCCAAGUCAGCGGUGAAAUUUCCGGGCUCAACCCGGAAUGUGCCGUUGAAACUGGCGAGCUAGAGUACACAAGAGGCAGGCGGAAUGCGUGGUGUAGCGGUGAAAUGCAUAGAUACCACGCAGAACCCCGAUUGCGAAGGCAGCCUGCUAGGGUGAAACAGACGCUGAGGCACGAAAGCGUGGGUAUCGAACAGGAUUAGAUACCCUGGUAGUCCACGCAGUAAACGAUGAAUACUAACUGUUUGCGAUACAAUGUAAGCGGUACAG